rnacentral:rRNA from 1 species
GGGACACCGAGUGCCAGCAUCAUAUGUUGGCUGUCCAGAUGUGUAAAAUACAUCUGUUAGCAAGGGCCGGGCAAGACCGGUGCCAGCCGCCGCGGUAACACCGGCGGCCCGAGUGGUGAUCGUGAUUAUUGGGUCUAAAGGGUCCGUAGCCGGUUUGGUCAGUCCUCCGGGAAAUCUGACGGCUCAACCGUUAGGCUUUCGGUGGAUACUGCCAGACUUGGAACCGGGANAGGUAAGAGGUACUACAGGGGUAGGAGUGANNNNUGUAAUCCA